rnacentral:rRNA from 1 species
AAUCCUGUAGUCGAAAAUGUUGUCUCUCUUGAGUGGAUCCUGAGUACGACGGAGCACGUGAAAUUCCGUCGGAAUCUGGGAGGACCAUCUCCUAAGGCUAAAUACUCUCUAGUGACCGAUAGUGAACCAGUACCGUGAGGGAAAGGUGAAAAGCACCCCGGAAGGGGAGUGAAAUAGAACCUGAAACCGUGUGCUUACAAGUAGUCAGAGCCCGUUAAUGGGUGAUGGCGUGCCUUUUGUAGAAUGAACCGGCGAGUUACGAUUUGAUGCAAGGUUAAGCAGUAAAUGUGGAGCCGUAGCGAAAGCGAGUCUGAAUAGGGCGUUUAGUAUUUGGUCGUAGACCCGAAACCAGGUGAUCUACCCUUGGUCAGGUUGAAGUUCAGGUAACACUGAAUGGAGGACCGAACCGACUUACGUUGAAAAGUGAGCGGAUGAACUGAGGGUAGCGGAGAAAUUCCAAUCGAACCUGGAGAUAGCUGGUUCUCUCCGAAAUAGCUUUAGGGCUAGCCUCAAGUGAUGAUUAUUGGAGGUAGAGCACUGUUUGGACGAGGGGCCCCUCUCGGGUUACCGAAUUCAGACAAACUCCGAAUGCCAAUUAAUUUAACUUGGGAGUCAGAACAUGGGUGAUAAGGUCCGUGUUCGAAAGGGAAACAGCCCAGACCACCAGCUAAGGUCCCAAAAUAUAUGUUAAGUGGAAAAGGAUGUGGCGUUGCCCAGACAACUAGGAUGUUGGCUUAGAAGCAGCCAUCAUUUAAAGAGUGCGUAAUAGCUCACUAGUCGAGUGACACUGCGCCGAAAAUGUACCGGGGCUAAACAUAUUACCGAAGCUGUGGAUUGUCCUUUGGACAAUGGUAGGAGAGCGUUCUAAGGGCGUUGAAGCAUGAUCGUAAGGACAUGUGGAGCGCUUAGAAGUGAGAAUGCCGGUGUGAGUAGCGAAAGACGGGUGAGAAUCCCGUCCACCGAUUGACUAAGGUUUCCAGAGGAAGGCUCGUCCGCUCUGGGUUAGUCGGGUCCUAAGCUGAGGCCGACAGGCGUAGGCGAUGGAUAACAGGUUGAUAUUCCUGUACCACCUAUAAUCGUUUUAAUCGAUGGGGGGACGCAGUAGGAUAGGCGAAGCGUGCGAUUGGAUUGCACGUCUAAGCAGUAAGGCUGAGUAUUAGGCAAAUCCGGUACUCGUUAAGGCUGAGCUGUGAUGGGGAGAAGACAUUGUGUCUUCGAGUCGUUGAUUUCACACUG